GGAUGGCAUGUGGGUCAUAGUAAGCCUGUCCGGGCUUCCUCCUGUCAGAUGCGUGGAGGCAAGCCAGGUGACAGAGCUGUUGCAGAUGCUGAUUACUGUGAGCCAGAGCCAUAGUGUUGUUGUGCACUGAACAGAACGGAAGUGGCCAGGUGAACCCUUUUCGGGUAUGAAAAAGGAUGGCGAGCCAAUGAACGGCUAGGAGCAGGACUCAUUCUGCAUUGAAGCUUCCACUGGUUGGGUAGGAAGCUAUCAAAGACGACGCUCUGUCCCCAUUUUCCAAAUACACUGAUUUCCACACUCAUACACACCAUUCCCCCCAUUUCUGGACAACAGCGCUUGGACAUCUCUCAUGGACAUUCAGAUAAAACUCAUGGACUUCAGUGUGGAUCAGUGGUUCUGAUGUUAACAUGUGUUAUUUAUGGGGAACUGUUUUUUUUGAGAAUCUAUAUUGCUUGGUAUAAGCCAUAAGAAUUUGCUUAGUUGUCUUUGUGCACCCCCACUGGGUUUCUGAUUAAUUGAGUAGCUGCAGCAGGAGUGAUUAUUUAAGUUCCCCUUUUCUUGUUAUUUUCCUUUGGGGUUCGGUUAAAUACAUGGUACCAGCAAAA